rnacentral:rRNA from 1 species
ACUCCGGUUGAUCCUGCCGGACCCGACCGCUAUCGGGGUAGGGCUAAGCCAUGGGAGUCGAACGCCCCGCCGCUGCGGGGCGUGGCGGACGGCUGAGUAACACGUGGCUAACCUACCCUCGGGACGGGGAUAACCCCUCGGGAAACUGGGGCUAAUCCCCGAUAGGCGGGGGGUGCCUGGAAGGGUCCUCCGCCGAAAGGGGCCGCGGGGGGUUAUCGCCCGCGGUCCGCCCGAGGAUGGGGCUGCGGCCCAUCACGGUAGUUGGCGGGGUAAUGGCCCGCCAAGCCUACGACGGGUAGGGGCCGUGAGAGCGGGAGCCCCCAGAUGGGCACUGAGACAAGGGCCCAGGCCCUACGGGGCGCACCAGGCGCGAAAACUCCGCAAUGCGGGCAACCGUGACGGGGCUACCCCGAGUGCCCCCCUUGGGGGGGCUUUUCCCCGCUGUAAGUAGGCGGGGGAAUAAGCGGGGGGCAAGACUGGUGUCAGCCGCCGCGGUAAUACCAGCCCCGCGAGCGGUCGGGGUGCUUACUGGGCCUAAAGCGCCCGUAGCCGGCUCGACAAGUCCCCGCCUAAAGCCCCGGGCUCAACCCGGGGAGUGGCGGGGAUACUGUCGGGCUAGGGGGCGGGAGAGGCCGAGGGUACUCCCGGGGUAGGGGCGAAAUCCAUUAAUCCCGGGAGGACCACCAGUGGCGAAGGCGCUCGGCUGGAACGCGCCCGACGGUGAGGGGCGAAAGCCGGGGGAGCGAACCGGAUUAGAUACCCGGGUAGUCCUGGCUGUAAACGAUGCGGGCUAGGUGUUGGGCGGGCGUGCGAGCCCGCCCAGUGCCGCAGGGAAGCCGUUAAGCCCGCCGCCUGGGGAGUACGGCCGCAAGGCUGAAAGGUCCGUGGGAGGGGGUUCUCACGUGGUUAAGUAGAAUUGUCACCCUCCCCGGGCCCAGCAAACUUAAAGGAAUUGGCGGGGGAGCACCACAAGGGGUGGAGCCUGCGGCUUAAUUGGAGUCAACGCCGGGAACCUCCACCGGGGGCGACAGCAGGAUGACGGCCAGGCUGAAGGCCUUGCCCGACGCGCUGAGGGGAGGUGCAUGGCCGUCGCCAGACCGGCUGUAGGCGCCUCGUGCCGUGAGGUGUCCUGUUAAGUCAGGCAACGAGCGAGACCCCCGCCCCUAGUUGCCAUCCCCGGGGCGACCCGGGGGGCACACUAGGGGGACUGCCGCCGCUAAGGCGGAGGAAGGAGGGGGCAACGGCAGGUCAGCAUGCCCCUAAACCCCCGGGCUGCACGCGGGCUACAAUGGCGGGGACAGCGGGUGCCGACCCCGAAAGGGGGAGGCAAUCCCUCAAACCCCGCCUCAGUUGGGAUCGAGGGCUGCAACUCGCCCUCGUGAACGUGGAAUCCCUAGUAACCGCGCGUCAUCAUCGCGCGGUGAAUACGUCCCUGCCCUUGCACACACUGCCCGUCGCUCCCCCCGAGGGGGGAGAAGUCGUAACAAGGUAGCCGUAGGGGAACCUGCGGCUGGAUCACCUC